UUGCACGCUGGCGGCAGGCCUAACACCUGCCAGUCGAGCGGAUGAAGGGAGCUUGCUCCUGGAUUCAGCGGCGGACGGGUGAGUAAUGCCUAGGAAUCUGCCUGGUAGUGGGGGAUAACGUCCGGAAACGGGCGCUAAUACCGCAUACGUCCUGAGGGAGAAAGUGGGGGAUCUUCGGACCUCACGCUAUCAGAUGAGCCUAGGUCGGAUUAGCUAGUUGGUGGGGUAAAGGCCUACCAAGGCGACGAUCCGUAACUGGUCUGAGAGGAUGAUUAGUCACACUGGAACUGAGACACGGUCCAGACUCCUACGGGAGGCAGCAGUGGGGAAUAUUGGACAAAGGGCGAAAGCCUGAUCCAGCCAUGCCGCGUGUGUGAAGAAGGUCUUCGGAUUGUAAAGCACUUUAAGUUGGGAGGAAGGGCAGUAAGUUAAUACCUUGCUGUUUUGACGUUACCAACAGAAUAAGCACCGGCUAACUUCGUG
rnacentral:rRNA from 1 species